GACGAACCGUGCGAACGUUGUUCGGAUUCACUGGGCUUAAAGGGCGCGUAGGCGGCUUGCCGAGUCAGGGGUGAAAUCUUUCGGCUCAACCGGAAAACUGCCCCUGAGACCGGCCGGCUGGAGGGGGGUAGGGGCGGACGGAACUUCCGGUGGAGCGGUGAAAUGCGUAGAUAUCGGAAGGAACGCCGGUGGCGAAAGCGGUCCGCUGGACCGCUUCUGACGCUGAGGCGCGAAAGCCAGGGGAGCGAACGGG
rnacentral:rRNA from 1 species